rnacentral:lncRNA from 1 species
AGAUGGGUCUUGCGUUUGAAAUACUUCAAAUUCAUGAUGAGCAUCUACAUAUCUUCUUCAAGGUUAUAAUCCUUGUCUCCAUUGCCGGCGCCGCCGGAGUCAGAACCCUAGCUAUCACCGGUAGUUUUGACACCGGGCCAAUCCUUGCACUGGCAGUGCUGUCCUUCUGGGAUUCGGUUGUAAACUGAAGGAACUGUCCUUCUUGCACAGGUACUGGCAGUCUUGUCCUUCUUGGCCUUCGAAAAUU